UGUUUUAAUUUAUUUUCAAAAAAAAGUUUACACUAAGUCUCGUUAGCUCGAUUGGUAUAAGAGUCUUAGCCAAAGCAUAAAAGUCAUAAGGUCGAAUAACACUUAAGAUGAAACUAAUAUUACAUUCUUGGUUCUCGGCUUAGGAUUACAUAAUUUGACCCAAAUCCUCCUACUAAUUCAAAACCAAAAAAAAACAAAAAAGAGUUUACGUAAAUAUCUAUAUAUAUAUAUUAUAUAAAAAAUAUAAUAAUUUUUCUAUAGGUUCUAACAAUGUAAUCUACCAUUAAACUAAUAAUUUGGAUAUUAGGAACUUGAUAAGUUUAUCAUGAGUCCAAAUAUGUAACACCCCGAUCCUGGAUUCCAAAGGAAACUAAAUUAAACCAGUGGUAUUAACUAAACCUAAACUAAUAAAUGCUGAAUAAUCUUUUAUUCUUAUUCCAAACCAACCCAAAUCCAAGUCUUACAAAUAAAAAUGAAAAUGAAGUAAAUUAAUGAAACCAAAAUAAAUAGAAUAUUAUCUUAAAAAGAGAUAAAAUAGUUCUUAAAACAAAUGAAAACUUCCUCCAUCUCUGAAGGCACAUCACACUAGAGCUACUCGUCUAGUUCUUCCCAGUCAUUAUCACAAUCACACUCACACUCACCUGCAAACACGCCUGCAUUCGGCACAUCUCUACCUAAACAGAUUAUGAUCUUAUUAUUCUAACAAGCACUAACUAAUCAACAGGGUUAUCAAUCAAUUAUGUUGGUUCUUCCUCUAAUAGGAUCCUGAUUCUUAAUAUUUAUAUAAUUAUACAUGGAUCUACCUAAAUGCACAAGAAAUCAUCCUAGUCUCAUCAGAUUUAGUCUCAACACACCAGAAGAAGACAAAUGAAUAAUAAGAAAUCCUAGAUCUAAUCCUUUAAUCAUCACCUUAGCAACAAGCAGAUCUGAGAUUAGGGAGAGCUAGAAGAGGCAAGAGAGUCAAGGAACUUCUGAGAAGGAGGGGGCUGGCGAGCACUCCUUCUUCUCUCGGCAAGCGGUGGUGGCGGCGACGGCUUCCGAUCCUUCGGUGGCGGCAGCUUCUCCUUCUUCAUCUCUCUCUUUUCUUUGGUGGCUAGGAUAAUUAGAGACU
rnacentral:lncRNA from 1 species